rnacentral:lncRNA from 1 species
CAUGUUUGUUGCAAAUGUACUCGACUGGCGUGAAGCAUUAAGCGACCAAUGACCGCCGUUUAAUGGUGCGGUUAAAAUAAAUCGUGAUAAUUUGCGCAGCUGAUAGAUGCAACGGAUGCGGGUUGAAGAAGGUUGAGCUGUGACAUGUCAUAAAUAUAAAUAUGACAGAUCUAUAGAAGAACUAACCAGUCAAUUGGCCGGGCGACGGUUGAAUGAUUGAUCGAUGUGCAACAGAUGUACAUACAUAUAAGUACAUAUGCAUGUGAAUGUGUAUGGGCGAGGGUGUUAAAAGUGCUAUAAUAGAAGGAAAACAAUCAGUGAAUCAUUUCUACUUUCCCUAUCCAUGGCGAAAAAAAACGCACUAGAGGCGAACGUGACGCAACCAAGUUUCGGCCAUCCAGGAAGGAGUGCAAUCAAGAUACAUAAACAUUUAAUUGGGGGUGCCACAAAAUCCCC